GGCGGACGGCUGAGUAACGCGUAGGAACGUACCCCAAAGUGAGGGAUAAGCACCAGAAAUGGUGUCUAAUACCGCAUGUGAUCUUCGGAUUAAAGCUUCGGCGCUUUGGGAACGGCCUGCGUAAGAUUAGCUUGUUGGUGAGGUAAUGGCUCACCAAGGCGACGAUCUUUAGCUGGUCUGAGAGGAUGAUCAGCCAGACUGGGACUGAGACACGGCCCAGACUCCUACGGGAGGCAGCAGUAGGGAAUUUUCCACAAUGGGCGAAAGCCUGAUGGAGCAACGCCGCGUGCAGGACGAAUGCCUUAGGGUUGUAAACUGCUUUUAUAUGUGACGAAUAUGACGGUAGCAUAUGAAUAAGGAUCGGCUAACUCCGUGCCAGCAGCCGCGGUCAUACGGAGGAUCCAAGCGUUAUCCGGAAUUACUGGGCGUAAAGAGUUGCGUAGGUGGCAUAGUAAGUCGGUAGUGAAAGCGUGGGGCUCAACCCCAUAUACAUUAUCGAAACUGCUAAGCUUGAGGAUGAGAGAGGUUAUUGGAAUUCCCUGUGUAGGAGUGAAAUCCGUAGAUAUAGGGAGGAACACCGAUGGCGUAGGCAGAUAACUGGCUCAUUCCUGACACUAAGGCACGAAAGCGUGGGGAGCAAACGGGAUUAGAUACCCCGGUAGUCCACGCCGUAAACUAUGGAUGCUAGCUGUUAGAGGUAUCGACCCCUCUAGUAGCGAAGCUAACGCGUUAAGCAUCCCGCCUGUGGAGUACGGUCGCAAGACUAAAACAUAAAGGAAUUGACGG
rnacentral:rRNA from 1 species